rnacentral:rRNA from 1 species
AAUAUUGGACAAUGGGCGCAAGCCUGAUCCAGCCAUGCCGCGUGAGUGAGGAAGGCCUUAGGUUUGAAAAGCUCUUUCACCGAUGAAGAUAAUGACGGGAGUCGGAGAAGAAGCCCCGGCUAACUCCGUGCCUGCAGCCGCGGUAAUACGAAGGGGGCUAGCGUUGUUCGGAUUUACUGGGCGUAAAGCGCACGUAGGCGGAUUGGUCAGUUAGAGGUGAAAACCCGAAGCUCAAAUUCGGAACUGCCUUUGAUACUGCCAAUCUCGAGUCCGGAAGAGGUAAGUGGAACUCCUAAUGUAGAGGUGGAAUUCGUAAAUAUUAGGAAGAACACCAGUGGCGGAGGCGGCUUACUGGUCCGGAAAUGACGCUGAGGUGCGAAAGCGUGGGGAGCAAACA